ACCCGCUGAAUUUAAGCAUAUCACUAAGCGGAGGAAAAGAAACUAACUAGGAUUCCCUUAGUAACGGCGAGUGAAGAGGGAAAAGCCCAGCACCGAAGCCUGCGGUAGAUUUACUGCUAGGCAAUGUGGUGUUUGGGUCGACUAGUGGGACUGCCACUCCAUUCGAAGUCCAGCAUUGAGUAUGGUACCCUGGAUUUGGCCCAAAGAGGGUGAAAGGCCCUUGCGAAUGGAUGUUCCAGACAUGGGAGGCAGUUCACCAGGUCGACCUACGAGUCGGGUUGUUUGAGAAUGCAGCCCAAAGAGGGUGGUAAACUCCAUCCAAGGCUAAAUACUAGCACGAGUCCGAUAGCGAACAAGUACCGUGAGGGAAAGUUGAAAAGUACUCUGAAGAGAGAGUAAACAGUACGUGAAACCGCAUAAAGGUAAACGGGUGGCGUCAAGCUGCAAGCCUAGAGGAUUCAGCUGGUCAUUGUGUGUACAUGUCCUGUGUUUUCAGUCGGUGAUAGUGAGCAGUCCACUGGGAAACGGUGGGCCCGGCCGCAAGGUUGGGAUGUAUGUACCACAUGUUUGGUGGUGUACGCUGUUCAACUAUUGGACUGGAUGGCCAGUGCACUUCCUCUAUAAUGGUGAACACCACGACCGGUGGAACUGCCAGUCUGGUGUGGUCAAGUCGUAUCUGGUUGGGCACUUGUGCUCAGCAGGUGCGAUCACAGGCAAACUCGGUGGACGGUGAGUGGCUUCGGCAUACUCAUGUUAUCGGUCAUCGGUUGCCAACGGGUCUGCUCGUCGACAUUUUGCAGUAAUCGACGGGUGGCCUGGUGGACCACGCUGGUAAGAAUAACUGUGCAGGGCACCGGAGAUGUCGGUCUCAAAUCCGGCUGGCGCACGCACUGCAAGUGUGUGUGGAGAUGUCAUUGUGGUCUGUCGUUGCUUGGGUCUGAUUGUCGUGUCGCCUGCGCAAAGUAGGUCCGGCGAUGGCUCGGCUGCGGACGGUGCAUGCAGUGGCGUUUCUCUGUCAGUCGGUGUGGGCCUCAUAGUCUGUGGUGUAGUGGUAGACGAGCUACCCGACCCGUCUUGAAACACGGACCAAGGAGUUCAACAUGCACGCGAGUCAAUGGGGACUUCCGAAACCCAAAGGCGAAGUGAAAGUGAAGCCUCUUCGGGGGUGUGGUGAGAUCCUGCCGUUUCUCGCAUCUGCACUUCUGUGUAGCUUGUAGCACAGGGCGCAAAGAGCGGUGGGCGCAUCACCGGCCCGUCUCAUGAUGUGGUCAUUGGUCGGUUGCUGUGAUCGUUCGCGGUUGCGGUGGCUCCAGUGCGUCAUCGGGGCGGAGCAUGAGCGUGUAUGUUGAGACCCGAAAGAUGGUGAACUAUGCUUGCGUAGGUUGAAGCCAGAGGAAACUCUGGUGGAAGACCGUAGCGAUUCUGACGUGCAAAUCGAUCGUCAAACGUGAGCAUAGGGGCGAAAGACUAAUCGAACCAUCUAGUAGCUGGUUCCCUCCGAAGUUUCCCUCAGGAUAGC
rnacentral:rRNA from 1 species